rnacentral:lncRNA from 1 species
CUACAUUUUCCACUGCUUUGACUAUCUGAGUUCUAGUAAGAAUCCCAUAACAUCAAAUGAUGGUUCUAUCACAAUUAAGGGUAACUCAAUCAGCGGCUUGUAUAUCAAAUGCUUCAAUUGAAGUUUAGCUUUACCAGAGAACAAUGGAGGAAGGAGCAUUAACCAAUCUGCAAAGCAAAUCCUCUUGCACAACUUUACCUAAAGAAAUUAGGACUAGGUUUUCCCGUGUCCUCAUUCAUGAUUUGUCAAGACCAACAAUAUGCAAAUAAGGACGAUGCAGGAAGGAGCAUUAACCAAUCUGCAAAGCAAAUCCUCUUGCACAACUUUACCUAAAGAAAUUAGGACUAGGUUUUCCUGUGUCCUCAUUCAUGAUUUGUCAAGACCAACAAUAUGCAAAUAAGGACGAUGCAGGAAGGAGCAUUAACCAAUCUGCAAAGCAAAUCCUCUAGCACAACUUUACCUAAAGAAUGUAGGACUAGGUUUUCCUGUGUUCUCAUUCAUGGUUUGUCAAGACCAACAAUAUGCAAAUAAGGGCAAUGCAGGAAGGAGCAUUAACCAAUCUGCAAAGCAAAUCCUCUAGCACAACUUUACCUAAAGAAUGUAGGACUAGGUUUUCCUGUGUGAGCAUUCAUGGUUUGUCAAGACCCACAAUAUGCAAAUUACAUAUUCUAGCAUAACUUCGCCUAAAUAAGAUGGACUUAGGCUUUGUUUACCCUCCUGAAAGCUUGAUGUUAUGCACACCAAUGUAUUAUAUUACGAUAAACAGUCUACUAUAGCCUAUAGCUACACCACUCAAAUAUGGUUGCAUCACAGCCAAAUACACACUAGAGGGCGGGUUAAUGCUACACCUUCUGAACCAAUUCUCGAAAUUGAUUCUCCAAUAAGACAGAUCACAGUUACCCUUAGUUUUUUCAAAAAACUACACUAUAUGACACUGUCCAAUUGGUUCUGAAAAUUAACCAUCUUCCAAGGGAUUAAAGAUAUGCAUAAGGUUCCUACUGUUAGAUGGCCACCUCAAAUAACAACAGCGUCAACUACAAAAUAAAUAAAUAAAUAAAAACAACAAGAACAACAAUAGCAACAACGUUUCUGGAUAUGGAUGUCCAAGGAGAGAGUCAGCAACAAUUUUAUACUUAGAAAC